rnacentral:rRNA from 1 species
GUAGGUGGCAAGCGUUGUCCGGAAUUAUUGGGCGUAAAGCGCGCGCAGGCGGUCCUUUAAGUCUGAUGUGAAAGCCCACGGCUCAACCGUGGAGGGUCAUUGGAAACUGGGGGACUUGAGUACAGAGGAGGAAAGCGGAAUUCCAAGUGUAGCGGUGAAAUGCGUAGAGAUUUGGAGGAACACCAGUGGCGAAGGCGGCUUUCUGGUCUGUAACUGACGCUGAGGCGCGAAAGCGUGGGGAGCAAACAGGGAUUAGAUACCCUGGUAGUCCACGCCGUAAACGAUGAGUGCUAAGUGUUAGGGGGUUUCCCGCCCCUUAGUGCUGCAGCUAACGCAUUAAGCACUCCGCCUGGGGAGUACGGCCGCAAGGCUG